CCUCCGUGAAUUUGACUUUUCUGGAGAAAUGUCCACACAAAGAGACUCGACACGAGUUACAGAGCAGGAGCGAUUGCUGUUCCUGAAGCUGAAGAUGGCGCUGGCAGUGGCCAUCAUAAAGUCCAAACCCCAAGGAACCAGUGUCCGAGAAUUCUCCCAAAAACUGGCUUCAAAUCUGAGGAACAGCAACGAAAUCUGGAAGAAGAGAGCAGAAGACCUGGAGAGAGAGGUGCUAAGGCUCAGACAAGAACUACUGCUGACAAGAGCCCAAGGAGAGGAACCAGAGGAACAUACAGAAUCUGAGGUGCUGGAGGUUUUUUCCCAGGAUCUGUUUGCUCCCAUCAAAGACACAGAUCAGCUGGUGGA
ensembl:lncRNA